rnacentral:rRNA from 1 species
UGGACGCAAGUCUGAUGGAGCAACGCCGCGUGAGUGAAGAAGGUUUUCGGAUCGUAAAGCUCUGUUGUUGGUGAAGAAGGAUAGAGGUAGUAACUGGCCUUUAUUUGACGGUAAUCAACCAGAAAGUCACGGCUAACUACGUGCCAGCAGCCGCGGUAAUACGUAGGUGGCAAGCGUUGUCCGGAUUUAUUGGGCGUAAAGCGAGCGCAGGCGGAAGAAUAAGUCUGAUGUGAAAGCCCUCGGCUUAACCGAGGAACUGCAUCGGAAACUGUUUUUCUUGAGUGCAGAAGAGGAGAGUGGAACUCCAUGUGUAGCGGUGGAAUGCGUAGAUAUAUGGAAGAACACCAGUGGCGAAGGCGACUCUCUGGUCUGCAACUGACGCUGAGGCUCGAAAGCAUGGGUAGC